AGGGACUCUUAAGAAUUAAGAUUGCAACAGAAUGCGUAAAGCCAUAGAAGAGUCAUAUGAUCUUUGCUCGCUUACAGGAGAGUCGCUAUCUUCAAUUGUGGUCGAUUGCAUGCAUUGAUGGCGGAAUGUUCCUGGCACUGUCCAUAUCCCCACAACCAGCAAAACCCUAUCAGCGAUCAAGAAGAUGCCCAAUAGCUGACGAAGCUAUCCCUCUCAGCACUGCCUUUUUCCGGCUACUGCUGAAUUUCCCGGUCGUUUCUCGAUGCCUAUAGGUUCCAAAAGAACAUGUGACGGAAGAAGUUGCAUGGCUGCUUAAUGUUGCAGCACUUGCUUUGUAGCAUGAAGAUUCAGAUGUACACAGAUUGGGCAGGUUUGAGCUUUGCAAGCUUUCUUCAUGCCAUCGCCUUGGCAUAUUUCAUGCCAUGCCAUCACUUUGGCAUCUCUUUCUUCUUACCUGUGGUAUUUUUACUGAAGUGAUCAUAGCUUCAGGUAAAUGAAUUAUUAACAUGUUUGUUCUUGGAUUUUCUUUUGUGUGGAAUGACUUGCUGCUCAACCGUGGUUGAAAAUUUUAGGGAAUUGGUAUUAAUUGGGCAGCAUUUUGGACAUAUAUAAGCAAUCUUUAAUCUGUUUUCUCAUCAAAUAAUUGCACGCAAUGUUAAGAAAUAGAAAAUAAUUCAAAUGAUGCAAGUUGUUUGUUUACUUGUCCAGUGAUUUUACUUUACAUGGUAUGCAAGUGCAUAGCAACAGAUCUUGCUGCGCCACAUUGCAUGGAGCUGGACGCUUUCCUGCCACACUGAGAUGCAGAUGAAGGAAAUUUGGGGAGCGUGUUUGUUGAAUGAAAAUAUAUGGUUUGAUGAUCUUCAAAGUAAACAGUGUGAAGGCAAUGUGCAAAUGCAUGAAAUGGGAGUUUGUUGAAGAGGAUGAAUAGCUAUUCAUAUCACUGGCCGUGUCAGACCAAUACCAACCCCAACACUCUUACUGGUUGGUGAGAAGCAAAGAAGGUCCAUGGCUCAGCUUCCAACAGAUUCUGCAAGGUAUUGCAGUUGCCUUCUUCGUCCUAUAUUAUUAGUUAAUUGCCAAAAGCUUCUUUUUCAAAUUUAUGAAAGAGAUUAUUCCAUUUGUGAGCUCAGCUUGCACUUUAAAUAUUUUCUAAUCAAGUUGUACUAUUAUUCUUGUAUAGUUAUCAUUUUUAACUCAAAAUCUGAAACUUUCGGCAUUGAUCGAACCCUGAUUUGUUUGUAAGAACAUGAAAACUAAUGAUGGAUGAUAAUUAUUUCUAAAAUGGUUAAAUUAACGUACAACAUUUCAUUUUCA